rnacentral:rRNA from 1 species
GAGACUCUGUGCGCGUGCAUAUCAAUAAGCGGAGGAAAAGAAACUAACUAGGAUUCCCUCAGUAACGGCGAGUGAAGCGGGAAGAGCUCAAAUUUGAAAUCUUCAAGGUUCUACCUUGACGAAUUGUAGUUUAAAGAAGCGUUUUCUGUUGGAGUUUUGGUAAAAGUUCUUUGGAAUAGGACAUCAUAGAGGGUGAGAAUCCCGUAUUUGACCAUUAUUUCCAGCUGUGUGAUACACUUUCAAAGAGUCGGAUUGUUUGGGAAUGCAGUCCAAAAUGGGUGGUAAAUUUCAUCUAAAGCUAAAUAUCGGCGAGAGACCGAUAGCGAACAAGUACCGUGAGGGAAAGAUGAAAAGAACUUUGAAAAGAGAGUUAAACAGUACGUGAAAUUGUCAAAAGGGAAGCGUUUGACACCAGUGUUGUUUAGUUGAAAAUCAAUUCAAUAAUUUUUGAUUUUGAGUAGUAUUGACUUCAUCAGCUUGCUGCUUUCUUUUCCGAAAUUAUUGAAUGCACUUUUCAGUUAACAAGUCAACAUCAAUUUCUUUUGUUGUAAAAGGGUAAGAGGAAGGUGGCUUACGCUUCGGCGUAAGUGUUUAUAGCCUUUUACCUCUGCAAUCGGAGAGAUUGAGGACAGCAGCGUAGACUCCUUCGGGGUUAGAUACACUUGUGCUAAGCUAUAGCCUUGUAUAGACAACUUGUUGACUAUGCUCAGUCAUGUAGCUUACUCGCUGAUGCUAUUUUACCUACGCUUAGGAUGUUGAUCUGUAGUGCGUGCGC